CGCUGGCGGUCGCCAUUUUCGCAAUUUGCGAAAAAAUAAUAAUUGUGGCGAUAAAAAUUCGUCAUUUGCGAAAGAAUUUGGCGAAAGAAAUAUAUAUAACGAUUUAUUUUCCUUCAUCUUGUUUAUUUACUUUUUUUCGAGUUUCUCGGAAUUUACCAGAUCAGACAAUACUCGGAAUUCACCUUGACCUCAUUAAGAUUUGGAC
rnacentral:lncRNA from 1 species